GAGAGGUGGAGGCCUAGGAUCCAGAGGGUGAGACCCCAGCAGCUGUCAUCAGAGACGGGGGAAAGGAUCCGGGGAUGACAAUGAGGAAAAAGAACUGAACAAGAGUCCAAAACAGAGAGAUGGCGUAUGAGGAAGUGUCUCUCGAGGAGUGGUUACCAUCCAGCAGGCCACCUGGCCCCAGUCACAAAGCCACCUGCGCAGAGCUCUACUGGACUCUGGGCAGAGCCCGAUCUAGCCUUGGUUCAAGGACAUUACAACCCACAAAUUACCCUACUCUUGCCCAAACUGUGGCCACAACUUCAGCUACCCCUCCCUCCUGGCCAACCUGGGGAGUGGCCCUUCCGGUGUGACCAAUGCCAGGCUCGUCUCUCCCAGUGCAAGCAUCUGUUCCAGCAUCAGCUCUUCCACACAGAGCAUUCUGCUUUCUGGACUGUAGCUCUCCUGUUCCUCAGAGAUGAGAUCCCCUGGACACAAGAGCCUAUGGAAGGAGCCUGCACCCUCUCCGAGGACCCUCUGAGAUAGAGGGCACACCUUGGGCCCAUCCCCAGUGGGGGAAGCUCAUCCAAGGAUCCUUUUAGCCAGUGCAGAUAUUCGCAUGUUGUCUGGAUUUUACACCUUCUGAAUAAAGAUGUGUUCUUGGACCACAGCAGGCGGAAACAAAAUGCUGGGACUUUUGUUUAAAAGAAAGAGUAAAUUACCG